AGGAGAUAAAUGAUGCAGAACAUGAAUAUAUGAAUAUCUGCCCCCUCCCCAAUUAUCGACUUUCCGGCGUCCCUGGCUGAAUUUGAAGUUUUUUAAAACUUUUUUUACUUUGAUGUACCGUGAAAUGCAUACAGGUUAUAACCCGCGAAUAAAUAAUUAGAACUUGGGUCAGUAUAUAUGACUUAUAUUAUAUAUUAUUAUUAUUAUAAUAGUAUAUGUACUAUUCACAACAUGAGCGGCAGUGAUGUAUCGGACGCGAAUGUUAUGAAUGGCUUGUGAAACGUCUUGAUAAGUUUAGCAGGGUUUGGUAGAAAACGUGGG